rnacentral:lncRNA from 1 species
GUUUAGCUUAUAAAUAAUCCGUCUGAGCGAAGGACUUGUGUUUAUAUAUUAAAUAUUCCCAAUAGCAAGGCUCUUCUUUCUAAUUAAAGUUGGAUGGCGUUAUUAAAUCUCCGUGUAUCAUCAACGUAAAAACAAGCGCAGCAUUUAAUAAGGUUGGUAUACUACAAUGCAUUACAGUUAUCUUGUUAUUUAGUCAAAUUUCAGCUUUGUUGUUUUUAUUCUUGCACUGUACUGUACUGUACUGUAAUUUCAUAAAUACACUGUACAAAAUUAUAGCGUAAUAUUUGUGUUUAUUGCCUAUAGUUUGACCCUAUUGUGUGUGUCUAUGUACUGUGAUACAUAAUUAUGUACAUGUUUUGAGUUAAACAAAUUGUUUAAUAAAUUUUUGCUGAAGUAUGAUGCCUGUUUGUAUCUAGUUGUGGAUAGAUUUUUACAUAUAUGUGCAUACAGUAGUUAUAUAUUUUUCAAUUUUCAUCUGUAAAUAAUAUUGCCAUACUUGUGUGUUGUUCUAAUAUUACUGUGAAUAGUGACAUACUUUUGCAUUAGAUUGCUAAUUUUAGAGAUUACAGUGUAUGUAUAAAAUAAUAAAAUUUUUCUUGUUAUGCUUUUGUAGAAAGAGAUCUAUUUGAGUGGUUGGCUGGUCUUGAACCUGGUCAGAUAAUGAAGGUGAUGGGGUAGAAAGUUGUAAUGAAGGUGAUAGGGCAGAAAGUGGUGACCGGUUAAGUGAUGAGGAUGAAAGUGACGAGGACAAAAUCAACCAUGCUGUACCAUUCAAGAUUUCAAGUGCAUCGGUGCUGCUCAUGAGAAAAACUACCAACAUCAUUUUGGAACAGGCAUACCUUGCUCUUCAUUGGCCAGAGCAAUUGAAUCCAACAGACUCAAGUGCAAUUGAUCUAGACCAUGGAACCGGAUGGACACAUGUUGGUUAUAUUGCUUCUGAACUAUGCGAGCAUUUACACCCAUUAAUUGCAGCAGGAGAUAUCUUAGAGGUCUAUGUUCAGCAUAUUAAGUAUAGGGUUGAGUUUUUUAAAAUAGGAUUUUAUCCAGACUCAAGUGGCCGG